GACGAACGCUGGCGGCGUGCUUAACACAUGCAAGUCGAACGGAAAGGCCCUGCUUUUGUGGGGUGCUCGAGUGGCGAACGGGUGAGUAACACGUGAGUAACCUGCCCUUGACUUUGGGAUAACUUCAGGAAACUGGGGCUAAUACCGGAUAGGAGCUCCUGCUGCAUGGUGGGGGUUGGAAAGUUUCGGCGGUUGGGGAUGGACUCGCGGCUUAUCAGCUUGUUGGUGGGGUAGUGGCUUACCAAGGCUUUGACGGGUAGCCGGCCUGAGAGGGUGACCGGCCACGUUGGGAGUGGGAUAGGGCCAAGAUCCCUAGGGGGGGCAGCGGUGGGGAAUUUGGAAAAAGGGGCGGAAGCGUGACGCAGCAACGCCGGGGGGGGGAUGCCGGCUUUCGGUUUGUAAACCGCUUGCGCCGGUGACGAAGCGGGAGGGAGGUAAAGGGAUAAAAAAACCCGGGCAAACUACGUG
rnacentral:rRNA from 1 species